UUCUCACCUGCAACUUUUUGCAAGACCCUGAUUACAGCAAUGAAAAAUGUAACACAUGAACUAUUUCUGACUUACACUUUGAAGCGUAUUUUUAUUCUUCUUUGUCUUCAUAGAUUAUUUAAGUUAGAAAAUUAAUACUAGCCUAUAAUUGUCCAGUAGCACUUGCAUAUUUUUCUUCUUUUUUUUUUGCUGUUGUUAAAAAUUAGGUCAGAAUACUCACCGCCAAUUCUUAGGAGCUCCUCCAUGGUGCCAGGUAUAGGGUAGCUGACUCAAAAUAAGACAGCUAUAACAAACUUGGAGGAGAUAGGACAUACAAAGCUUUUUGUGCGACUAGUCCCAUGGACAACAAGGUUCGUCAUAUUUCCAAUGAGGCUAUCUUCCCUGAAGUUUGGUAUCACUGCACCGAUCCAGGUUCUUCCUGGGUCAGGGUAUCUAUCGGCAAUCAUAUAGUUAAAGCAUCCAGAACAGUGAACCGUGAAAAGAGUCACCUGUAGUACAAAAAGUUAUUGU